ensembl:lncRNA
GUUCUUCCUCUCCCUUUCCAUUUUAAUAGCAAACACAGCAUCAACCAUGCUAGCUACUUCCAAUGUCUAUUUUUCAAUCUCAUAACAAUCUAAGAGCUAGAUUGAUAUGAUCUCUAUUCUACCCAUGUGAAAACACUCUCAGAGACUUUAAAUAAUUUGCCCAAGGUCACACAGUUAAUAAGUAGCUGAGCUGAGCUGUGAACCUAAGGAGUUUUCACACUGUGCCAAGCUGCCUUUUGUCUGCUCUUUCUCUGAUCUGGACAAGCAGGACUGACAGGAACCCUAGGCAGAAGACCCAUAUGGACAGUCAUCAGCCUCUGCUAAAACAUUUUGGGAAUUUUGAAAAAGAUGUGUUCCACUCUGCUAGGACUACGAAAUUUCUUACCUGUUCGUUCAAGUAAAAGUGUGGAAGAGUUGGGAGACGGAUACUGAUCCUAUGUGGAUAAAGAUGGCUGUGGAUGUUUCCACUUCAGAUACUUAACCCUACAUGAACAUUCCAGAACUCUGAGGAAUCCCCAAAUAGAUGAGAAUUGCUGCCAAGAAGCUUAGAGUUGAACAAGAUGUUUCACUACAGUAUAUAGCAAAUUUCCUUACAAAUUUUGAGGUGAUCUAAUCUUGGGAGAAGAGAAAAGGAAGGCAAGUAGCAACUUUUAUAAAAGUUAAGUAGUAUCAUUUUUUUUGGUACGGGGGAUCGAACUUGGGACCUUGUGCUUGCAAGGCAGGCGCCGGAACCACUGAGCUAAAUCCCCUGCCCUAGUAUAAUUUUUUUUUAAAAAGCAAGCAAAGCAAUAUUUUACUGGAUAGAAGUUUGUAUAAUUUCUGAUUUUAGGUGAAUUCUGCUCCAUAUAGAAAGCAAGGCAAUUGAGCCUAUAAUAUUAGGUUCCUUUUCUUUGAGAAGGCCUGAGGGAGAAAGAAGCCAAUGAGAAAAGUUCUUGCCUUUGACACAGUGAUUCUUGUAGGCUGAGUGAACAAGUACACACCUUAAGCUCAUGGGCAGGAAAAGUGAAGGAAUGUUCUAAGAGCUAAACAUCAGUUUCUGAGAAUAAAUAUGGUUGACUCAUUCUUAUAUUUUGGAUGAAGUCUUGGAAACAAACCAAAUUCUUUUGACUUUCUCUAAUCCUUUGCUUGGAACCUGCCCAGAACCACGUAAGAGAAUGACUAAUCUGCAUCUGGUAGACACAUAGACUAUGAGAAACCUGCUUGGACUAAGAUGGAACCCUAAUGUGACUUGUAUGAACCGUGACUUAGAAAAUAGAGCAUUGGUUUGGAAAACAGUCCAGUAGUUCCUCCAGGGGUGAAACACUGUUGCCGUUCAACCUACCAAUUGGACACCUAGGGACCUGCCUUCUUUUUGUCCACUUCACCUGACAACUUUCAUUAGUCCAGUAAAUGAAUUAAAGAAGAGAAAUAAAUUGUUUCAUGUUCUUAAAGCAAGGGUCAUCCAGAAUCUACUAAUUAUACUGAACUCUGUUUUUUGUCUCUGCUUCUUCUUUUACACUUACAUAUCUAUUUUUACAAGUAUAUUAAUAAAUACC